GUGAAUCAUCGAAUCUUUGAACGCACAUUGCGCCCGCCAGUAUUCUGGCGGGCAUGCCUGUCCGAGCGUCAUUUCAACCCUCGAGCCCCUCCGGGGGGUCGGCGUUGGGGAUCGGCCCUCCCUCGCGGGGGCCGGCCCCGAAAUCCAGUGGCGGUCUCGCCGCAGCCUCUCCUGCGCAGUAGUUUGCACAACUCGCACCGGGAGCGCGGCGGGCCCAUGCCGUGAAACAACCCAACCUUUCUGAAAUGUUGACCUCGGAUCAGGUAGGAAUACCCGCUGAACUUAAGCAUAUCAAUAAGCGGAGGA
rnacentral:misc_RNA from 1 species